rnacentral:rRNA from 1 species
AUUGAACGCUGGCGGCAGGCCUAACACAUGCAAGUCGAACGAGUGGCGGACGGGUGAGUAAUGUCUGGGAAACUGCCCGAUGGAGGGGGAAAACCACUGGAAAAGCGCUCUAAUACCGUAUACUCUAAACUGUGCCCAGAUGGGAGGCGCUUGUUGGUGGGGUAACGGCUCACCAAGGCGACGAUCCCUAGCUGGUCUGAGAGGUGGACCAGCCACACUGGAACGUAGACACGGUCCCGACUCCUACGGGAGGCAGCAGUGGGGAAUAUUGCACAAUGGGCGCAAGCCUGAUGCAGCCAUGCCGCGUGUAUGAAGAAGGCCUUUGGGUUGUAAAGUACUUUCAGCGGGGAGGCGUUACCCGCAGAAGAAGCACCGGCUAACUCCGUGCCAGCAGCCGCGGUAAUAC